rnacentral:rRNA from 1 species
UACGUAGGGGGCGAGCGUUGUCCGGAAUCAUUGGGCGUAAAGCGCGUGUAGGCGGCCCGGUAAGUCCGCUGUGAAAGUCCAGGGCUCAACCCUGGAAAGCCGGUGGAUACUGUCGGGCUAGAGUCCGGAAGAGGCGAGUGGAAUUCCUGGUGUAGCGGUGGAAUGCGCAGAUAUCAGGAGGAACACCAAUAGCGAAGGCAGCUCGCUGGGACGGUACUGACGCUAAGGCGCGAAAGCGUGGGGAGCGAACAGG